rnacentral:rRNA from 1 species
CGCUGGCGGCAGGCCUAACACAUGCAAGUCGAGCGGUAGCACAGAGAGCUUGCUCUCGGGUGACGAGCGGCGGACGGGUGAGUAAUGUCUGGGAAACUGCCUGAUGGAGGGGGAUAACUACUGGAAACGGUAGCUAAUACCGCAUAACGUCGCAAGACCAAAGUGGGGGACCUUCGGGCCUCAUGCCAUCAGAUGUGCCCAGAUGGGAUUAGCUAGUAGGUGGGGUAACGGCUCACCUAGGCGACGAUCCCUAGCUGGUCUGAGAGGAUGACCAGCCACACUGGAACUGAGACACGGUCCAGACUCCUACGGGAGGCAGCAGUGGGGAAUAUUGCACAAUGGGCGCAAGCCUGAUGCAGCCAUGCCGCGUGUGUGAAGAAGGCCUUCGGGUUGUAAAGCACUUUCAGCGGGGAGGAAGGCGGUGAGGUUAAUAACCUUGUCGAUUGACGUUACCCGCAGAAGAAGCACCGGCUAACUCCGUGCCAGCAGCCGCGGUAAUACGGAGGGUGCAAGCGUUAAUCGGAAUUACUGGGCGUAAAGCGCACGCAGGCGGUCUGUCAAGUCGGAUGUGAAAUCCCCGGGCUCAACCUGGGAACUGCAUUCGAAACUGGCAGGCUAGAGUCUUGUAGAGGGGGGUAGAAUUCCAGGUGUAGCGGUGAAAUGCGUAGAGAUCUGGAGGAAUACCGGUGGCGAAGGCGGCCCCCUGGACAAAGACUGACGCUCAGGUGCGAAAGCGUGGGGAGCAAACAGGAUUAGAUACCCUGGUAGUCCACGCCGUAAACGAUGUCGAUUUGGAGGUUGUGCCCUUGAGGCGUGGCUUCCGGAGCUAACGCGUUAAAUCGACCGCCUGGGGAGUACGGCCGCAAGGUUAAAACUCAAAUGAAUUGACGGGGGCCCGCACAAGCGGUGGAGCAUGUGGUUUAAUUCGAUGCAACGCGAAGAACCUUACCUGGUCUUGACAUCCACAGAACUUUCCAGAGAUGGAUUGGUGCCUUCGGGAACUGUGAGACAGGUGCUGCAUGGCUGUCGUCAGCUCGUGUUGUGAAAUGUUGGGUUAAGUCCCGCAACGAGCGCAACCCUUAUCCUUUGUUGCCAGCGGUUAGGCCGGGAACUCAAAGGAGACUGCCAGUGAUAAACUGGAGGAAGGUGGGGAUGACGUCAAGUCAUCAUGGCCCUUACGACCAGGGCUACACACGUGCUACAAUGGCAUAUACAAAGAGAAGCGACCUCGCGAGAGCAAGCGGACCUCAUAAAGUAUGUCGUAGUCCGGAUUGGAGUCUGCAACUCGACUCCAUGAAGUCGGAAUCGCUAGUAAUCGUAGAUCAGAAUGCUACGGUGAAUACGUUCCCGGGCCUUGUACACACCGCCCGUCACACCAUGGGAGUGGGUUGCAAAAGAAGUAGGUA